AGGAGGAGGAGGAGGAGGGUGGUGGCUGCCGUGCUCCUGCCCGCCUGGCUCCGGCACCUCCUGGAAGCGACUUCCCCUGCCAGCGUGCUCGCUCAUCCCUCGACGUCCUCCUCUUCUCCUCCGAGCACAGACCUUGUGGGAGCACUGAUGGAGAAGGACCCACCUGGGUGGAAGCCUGCCUGCCACCUGCCUCUUUGCUUGGGCUGCUUUGGGUGGUGCUGGCUGCAGCUGCUGGGGCUGAGAGUCAUCACCAAGCUCUGUCCUUCUUCGUCAGUCAAAACUUGUCCCUGCAGACGUUGUUCUGGUCACCACGUUGAGGCUCUCCAGGUGCCAGCGUGCAAAUGUGGGAUGCAUUUCUGCACUGUGGUCGGACCUCUGAGGCAUGAUGCUCUACCAGUGGAAGGAGCAAUACAGCAGCCUGCUCUUGAGAUGUAGAACUGGGUGUCCUGACUCUGAAAAGAGUCACAGCUGCAAAUGUGUCUUGUGUCCUUUGGAGGUAGUCAGGACCCAUGUGCAGCCCACAAUGCCUGUGUUGUGCAAAACAUGCUUGCUCUUAGAUCAGGAUUAUGAGAGACAGGGACAGCAUUUCAGGUCACAGGCACAUCACUUGUCUUACCCUGGACACCCUGUAGCCAAGUCAUAAGAAAAAUACUUUGUUUCCUGCUCUGUAACCAGAUCCUCCUCCAACAAACAUUUCUAAAGGGGGUUGUGACAAAGUGCAGCAGAAAUCAGAGUGGUAUUGGAAGCAGAGAUCAAACUGGACCCUCUGGUCCUAUCAGAGUGCCCCACAACAGCCUCCAAACUUCCAGGAAUGGGCCAGAAUUGUGGGUUUGAAGCCCAGGUACCACAGCUGAGUGUUCCAGAUGAUGUUCACUCUGCCUAAAUGAGGUGGUUUCACCCCGUCCCUGCUCCAAGCUGAUUCCUGACAUCACCUUUCUAAUUUUCUAGACUGGCAGAUGCUGCCACCCCUUGCACUCUCCACAUGUGCCCUUGGAGCAGCAUCCCACUCUCUGUGGGUCCAGCCUUGCCCCAGCUCACCCAAAGAGGCAGGAUGCCCGAAGCUCUGCAGACCUGUCUUACAUCAUUUUCAAGUGCAGUCCUGGUCAGAAGCCUGAAGGAGGUGCAAAGCCAAGCAGAAAAUUGCUGGUGUGCAUACCAGAGUCCCACAGGUGGGGCCCAGCUCUGUAGGGUGGGUAACCACAGCAGCAUGGCUUCAGCAGCUCCACUCCCCACCAACGGCUGCCUGGACGUGCCGUGGGGACCCUCUUGCUGAGGUUGGCGAGGCCGGAGCAGCUCUGCGCCUCGGGAUGCAGGGCAGGAUGCUCUCAGAUAAUUGCCAUGGCGAU